AGGGUCAGGGCACCGAAGCAGGAGGGGAGGGACUCAAGCACGGCCUGUGCUCCAGAAUCCUGCCUGCUGGAAGCCUUCCCCGCCCGAGGCUGAGCAGACUUGUCAGGUAACUGCCGUGGUUUUGUCGUGUGUUGCUCUACUCCGCCUGCGCUCAGCUCCCCGGGGGCGCUUUUCCACACCUUAUCUUUUAUCUUCACCACUUCCGCCCCUAGGAGGUGAGAACUCUACCACAUCCCCAUUUGGUGGGUGAGGAAACUGAGGCUGGAUGAGGAGAGAUAAUCUACCCCCCCCGGGGGGGGUGCCCAGUCGAUUGGAGCGCGGGCAGCGCCAGCGGGAGCUGGGACUGGAGGGCAGAGUCCCCGCCUGGGCCCGCAGGCACUGGCUCAGGACCUGUUGGGCCAGAAAAUAGUCCAUCUGGUUACCUGGGGGGCCCAGGCUUCUCAUUUCAGAGAAGCUCCCAUCUCCUCCCCCAGCCAGUUGGAGCCCCUGGUCCCCCACUCCCUGUGCCCUCCUGGCAGGGAACACUGACCCGGCUCCGUCCUAGCCGGGCAACAGUGUGCUGCCCACACAGGGGGUUGCGGAGAGGCUGGGCUUGUGGGCAAACGACAUUGGCGUGAGGUCUGGGAGGUGGUGACGUCCCCAGGCCUCCUUGGUUCCCCGGUCAGAGCUCAGGACAGAAGUGACCCGCUGCAGCUCCUCAACCUUCAGGCCUCAGCGCAGACACGCCCUGCGCUGCGGAGCUCCCAUCCCAUCUGCUGGGGACCUUGGCCUGAGCCCUUAGCCGGCUUCUCUCCUGAAAUUGCUACGGCGGCGAGCAGACAGCCUCUGCGCAGACACUCCCUGUGCCAAAACAGGGCAGGGCCGAGGGAAGGGUGUGGGCUGGGCCCUAGGCCCCCAUAUCCUGGGGGUGGUUGCCCUGGCUUGGCUCCGAAGGCCUUUCAGGCUGGCAGGAGGGGUCCUCGGCACCCUGCCCGCUCUGGCCCCAUAGGGCCGCGUCGCUACCCCAUCGAGGCCCAGGGCCACCCCACAGGGCCGCUCCCUAACUGUGAAGGACAGGCACUGCCCUGAGCCUCCGUCUCCUCAUUUCUGACGCAGAGCUGCCUUGGACUUCCCUUGAGGCCCAGGUGUGCCCUGCUGGCAGGCACACCAAGAUGCAGCGAGGCAGGCCUUUGAAAAGCAGCAGGCUUCGCACCUCUGCGCCGUUACUGGCAGCUGCUGCUACAGAUCCGUUCCUCCUCCAGGCCCGUGGGCAAGCGUGGGUGCGGCGGGCGGGCGGGUGGGGCGCUGCCUCCCUUCGGGAGCCUCUGAUGUCCCCACCCCGGACUCCUCCCCUCCCUGCUCCAGGUUUCCACUGUCGGGAGUGUCACCUUCCUAGUACAUGUCUGUCCCUGCAGUGUGUCUGCGCGCCUCCGUGACCCCAUGGCUCUGCCAGGGCCUGGUACCCGAGGUGCAUGGGGCCGGGGGGAGGGGGAGGGAGGGAGGACCUCAGCCGUCUCAGGGCUCCUCUCCUGUUGCAGAUGGGAAAGCCGAGGCCCGAGGACGCACAGUGAGGCCGGGCGGUGCGGGGAGGCUGCAAGCCAAGCGAAGGGCCUUAAACCAGGGCUUCGGUUUGAUCUCAGGUAGGGAUCUGGGUUCCAGAAGCCUCCAAGAGCUGCAGUUACAGGUCAGUGUCAGGUCGGCGAGCAUCCUGGGGACACUGCUGUGUCUUCCUGCACCUGCCCUGCCUGGAGCUCAGGUGUCUGGGUCUCCACAGCAGCCUGGGCGGCUGGGAUGGAAGUGGCGCAAGCCACACUCCACAAAGGGCUCCUGGGGAGCUGAGUGGCACCAGCUCUGCUGGGUCUCCAGGGAGAGGGACGGGGCCCCAAAGAUCCAUGAAGGUAGGAGCCAUCCCCAGGCAUCCUGCGGCAAAGGCCAGGGACCCUGACUUUCCUCAGCCCCAGCCCUGCUGCUGCAGCCCAUCAAUCCCCACCCAGCCCCGACCCCUACGUCCCCUCGUCAGACAGUAGUGCCACUCCCUGGGCAUCGUGUCCCCAGCCACACUCUCCCUGAGUGUCCACACAGCAGCUGCUGAAGCCGACCCCACCAGACCAUCCUGGCUUCUGGCUCCCAUUUGGCUGCAGGAUAAAGCCCAACCUCAUGUGCCUGGUGUUCCAGGCCCUCCAGCUCUGCCUCCUGUGUCUAGACUGCCCUUAAGAGGGGAGAAAGGGGGUGUCCCCAGGCAGGAGGCGGUGGCUCUAAGCCUUGUCCAGAGUGGGCGGGCCACCCAGACUGACUGAGCUGCCAGGUGGAGCAGUGUCCCAACCCUAGGUGUGCAUGUGUGAGGGGCACCUGCGAGUGCAGUGGGGGUGAGAGUGUGUGUCCAGUGAUGAUGGGCCACCCUGGGACCGUCCCACGUCCUGGAACCAGCUUUCCCUCCAACUGUCUCUUAACAAACUGACCACCUUCCAGCUCCCCCUCGGAGGACCUCAGCCGAAAUGGUGUGGCCUUGGUCAAAAUGGCCCCCGGGGCACAGAGCUGGGCCUCUGACCCGUGCGGGUGGAGUCUCAGGUCUGGCCUGACCUCUUGCCCCAAGACUGCUCCCCCUGGCUGGGGGUGGGGCCUCAGAUGUGGGCGGGGCCUCAGCAGACAGGGCCGGGGCCUCCCUUGGGGUUUUUUUUUUUAGCCCUUGCUGUCAGCCAGCUUCCUUUCCUUGGGGGCUUCUGUCUGGCCAGGCUGGGUCCUGCUGUUCUUUACCGGGGCGCCAGCCCUCUCCAUCCACGGCCACCUCUUCUCAGAUCCUGUGCCCUAAUAGUGGUGACAGUGCCAACGUGGACGAUAGGAGAGCUUCGGCCCCUGCGAUUCCCGGGCCCCUACCUUGGGAGGGUCCUCAGCAGACCUCCCACCUCUACCCAGACCUCCCACUCCGCUGCUGACACCCUGGCUCAGCCCUCUGAACCUGCCCACCCCCCAGGCCUCUUCAAAAGGACCCCUUCCCAGACACGACCUGCGCCUUCCCAGCAGCCUGUGUCAUCGCAGUCCCCGCGGCCAGGCCUCCCACCAGGCUUCUGGGGGCCAGUGAAAUGUGCCAGCAGUAGGUCGCUUCUGCCACGAGCACCAGCCACAUGGCCCAGCUCGGCUGUAAGGACCUUUUCCUGCAAGACCUAAGAUGGGUUCAGACAGUCUUGACUUGCAGCCCAGAGGGGCUGGGAAGCCGAGGAGGGGCCGUUCUCCCAGAGCCGGGUGGGGCUUCCAGGAGGAAGGGCACUGGCUCACAGACCCCAUUCCCACCCCUGGGACGUCUUGAUUAUUUUUUAAGGGUAAAUGGAGGCUUCCAGAACCACAGCCAGGUCAGCAGAAUGUCUCCACCAGACAGAAUCUGCUGGCACACUUCCCUCACAGGUGGGGGAGUUGGCUUGGGGGCUGCCCGCGCUGGAAAGACGGAGGGGACUCGCACCCGCCUGAGUGAGGUCCUGCCUGUGGUGGGCGCUCCCUCUGCCUCUGUGUUGCUCUGACAGAAAGCAGCAAGUGAGCUACUGGUUUACUUGCAGCCCUACUGUGUGCUGCCAGCCCUUACCUGUGCCCGCUCUAAUUCAUAGGGCACUGAAGGCAAGACUUGGGCUCACAGCUGUGUCCCCAGACCCCAGAACUUUGUCACCCGCAAAUCAGGUGCUCAAUAAACUCUUGUUAAG
rnacentral:lncRNA from 1 species